ensembl:misc_RNA 7SK 7SK RNA
GAAUAUGAGGGCUAUCUGGUUGUGACGUCUAUCACCCCAGUAAUCACUGGGGCCGACUCAGGUGACCUGCUUGGCUAGGCAGGUGUUCCCUUUCUCUCUGACUGUCCACGCGCAUCCUGCUGUAAGCUGUGCACUCGCUCAGUUGAAGAGUUUGAACUUUCCCGAUAAAGGAUGACCGUUCUUUGGUCAAGGGUAUACCAAUAGCUGUACUUCCCAGCUACAUCUUCCAAACAAACUCUCAAAUUGGGGCAGCCAGCCUCCAAGAUGGCUCUAAACCUCUUGUUAUUCAUGAUCUUGUGCAG